AGAUGUGACUUCCUGGCCUUAAGUUGGAGCUAUAUACAAUUCCAUGAAUGAAACAGCACUGUUUAUACCUCCUGGUCUCUGCACCCUCUGCCUUUAUUCACCUGGAAAUGAAGACACACCUCAGUUACCUUAUCUGCAGAGUCUUCUUUGACCCACUUGUCAGCCAAUUUGAAAAAGUACCAGAAGGUCCUAUCCCUCCAUCUACACCGAAGUUUGCAUAUGGAAAGGUCACUUUGGAAAAGUUAAAGACAGUGGGAGCAGCUCUGGACAUUCUGUGUCCCUCUGGGCCCAUCAAAAGCCUUUAUCCCUUGACAUUUAUCCAGGUGAAACAGCAUUAUGGGUUUGUGCUGUACCGGACAACACUUCCUCAAGAUUGCAGCAACCCAGCACCUCUCUCUUCACCCCUCAAUGGAGUCCACGAUCGAGCAUAUGUUGCUGUGGAUGGGAUCCCCCAGGGAGUCCUUGAGCGAAACAGUGUGAUCACUCUGAACAUAACAGGGAAAGCUGGAGCCACGCUGGACCUUCUGGUAGAGAACAUGGGACGUGUGAACUAUGGCGCAUAUAUCAACGAUUUUAAGGGUUUGGUUUCUAACCUGACUCUCAGUUCCAAUAUCCUCACGGACUGGACGAUCUUUCCACUGGACACUGAGGAUGCAGUGCGCAGCCACCUGGGGGGCUGGGGACACUGUGACAGUGGCCACCAUGAUGAAGCCUGGGCCCACAACUCAUCCAACUACACGCUCCCGGCCUUUUAUAUGGGGAACUUCUCCAUUCCCAGUGGGAUCCCAGACUUGCCCCAGGACACCUUUAUCCAGU
rnacentral:sRNA from 1 species